rnacentral:sRNA from 1 species
GAGAAGUCUCCACGACCAUGCAGUAAUGCCAUCUACUUAUGAAUCCAUCCAUGGAUUAAUCUACAUAUGAGGUCAGAGUCCUCUGGUCCAGACACCUCCAGGAAGCUCAACCCUAAACCCAGCUGCACUGAACCACAGAGCUUAGUGGAGGACCCCUGUUACCACUCCGAAAAUACAAGGGGACACAUCUGCGUAAACAUUUGCUCAAUUUACAUCUGUGGGAGAAAGCAGUCCUAAAUCCCCCAAAGGACUGACUUUGCGGAGGCCCCAGAAAGCUGAACAAGCAGAUGUCUCCCGAACAGAGAAGAUAGGAACUCGGAGCCUUCCUUGUGGCUCGUCCAUGCAGCUUUCUGACAUCAGUGUUCCUUUGCAUUUGUUACCGUGAGCUUUCUAAUAGGUGGAUAUAUGAAAAUAAUUUUCCCAAGGUCUAUGGGCUGCUCCAGAAAAACUUAAGCAAGCUUAGAAGGAACCUUGGGAACCUUGGUUUGCAGGUAGUUGAUGGGAGGUAGAGGCAACCUGGGUUUGAUAACUGACUUUGUCUUAGAAACUUUUCUAUUGUUGUGAUUCACUAUGACCAAAAGCAACUUGGGGAGGAGGCGGGUUUGUUUCAGCUUAUAGUCCAUGAUGAAGGGAAGUCAAGAUAGGAGUUCAAGACAGAAAUCAGGAGGCAGGAACUGAAGCAGGGAAUAUGGAAGAGUAUGGCUUACUGGCUGGCUUAGCUUACUUUCUUAAUACAAUCCAGGCCCGCCUGCCCAGUGGUAGCACUGCCUCCAGGAACUGGGCCCUCCCACAUCAAUUUUAAUAAAAAAAUAUGCCCUAUAGACUUAUCCACAAACCAAUGUUAUGGAGGCUUUUUUAUUUUUAAAUUAAGAUCCCCCCCUUUCCAGAUAUGAGUAACUAUGGUCGUGUCAAGUUGACAAAAGCCACCCAGGGCACUUUGGAAGGGGCAGUUUGGGGACCUGAGGGGGGCAGUUUGGGGACCUGAGGAAUCUGUGGCAAUCUCUAAGUAAACAGCGUCAGAACUGAAAGUGAACUAGAAGACCCCCACAGGUGUCUGCUGCCUUCUUCGUUGGAGAGUGGGGGAAGAUCUGUACAGUUACCAGUGAUCAUGGAGAUUUUGUGUUGAGAGAAAAGACAAAGAAUACAUUGUGUUUCCUAUCCUCAAGAUGUCAGACUUUAUAUAUAGGCUGCCGUUUUGGCUUCUCUUACUAUGCUUCCACCAUUCUCCUUGGAACAUGCAGAAGACUGGUUCCAGCCAGUCUCUAAGCAGUCUUCUGAGAGGAGCCCUCCCUUUGAGCUUGCUUCACCCUUGGUGACUUCACCCUUUGUAAUGUGUCACACAAGCAAACUCUGACAGCUCUGUUCUUCUAGUCUUUCUGUGUCAUGACCUUGUUUCUGUUCUCCCCUCCCCCUUCCCCUUUCUGGACCUUACUAGGUUUACCUGUAGGGCUAAUUGUGCUCAUUUCUUUCAUUUUCCUACUUAAGCUUCUUGGACCUCUGUUUUCCAUUCAUGUGGGGCACAUUAUGACAUCUUCAAACACAUUUGUUCUUGUUCUU